rnacentral:rRNA from 1 species
CACGUAGGGCGCGAGCGUUUGUCCGGAAUUAUUGGGCGUAAAGAGCUCGUAGGCGGCCUGUUGCGUCCGCUGUGAAAGCCCGGGGCUUAACCCCCGGGUCUGCAGUGGAUACGGGCAGGCUAGAGGUAGGUAGGGGAGAAUGGAAUUCCCGGUGUAGCGGUGAAAUGCGCAGAUAUCGGGAGGAACACCGGUGGCGAAGGCGGUUCUCUGGGCCUUACCUGACGCUGAGGAGCGAAAGCGUGGGGGA